GUAAAAAAUGAAUCCUGGUGCCACGGAAAUUACACAAAAAAAAUCAAGUAUGACUUAAUUUCUUGAAGCAGUCGCCUUAAAAAAAUAACUAUUAUGUUUUUCCCCAAAUAAAUCAACUACAUUUGCGAGAAAAAAAUUCAGAGAAAAUGUUCCCUGAAAGAAUUGUGGGAAGUUGCACAAUUUCUCGCUGAUAAAUGUGCAGCCUUUUCCUCAAAUAUUUUGAACAUCUGAAAAACGUCCUUCAGUUGAGAUUUUGAAAAGACUGCCUCGAAGACAGACGCCAUUGAAGUUCAGCAUGGAAUAGUAAAAGGGUUGGCAAAAUGCUCAUCAAGGUCCAGUACCGUGGACUAAAAAAGUACCUCAAACUGCAGCCUGGUUUUUCUUUUGAAAGUUUCAUUGAAGAAUUUGUGCCAGCAGGUUCUUCUACUCUACAUUUUUCACUUUUCUGAAGUGAUAUGUAGAGGUCCUCUUCAAACAAGGGGCAUCAAUCUCCUGGUGCAGGAUAGAACACCUCUGCCAUAGGGGAUGCAGCAGAAAAGGCCAAAUGGAUGGUCCAGGAGGUUCUGGAGAAGAGUUCAGGGGGAGAGGAAACAAUGGAAGAGUAUAAGAGAUUGAGCACCUGACACACUGCACAAGACGGCAUCAUAUCCUGGUCAGCCACAUUGUUGAAAU